UUCUCACAGAUGUGGGUUUGUGGGGCCCAGUCACCGGUAGCACACCAACGUUAUGGGGCCCUCAGACAUAGUGGGGCCCAAAACCCUGGGCCCCACACCGUUUUUCAUUUGUAAUGGGCUCAGGAGGCUGCCCUGACAUGCCCCCCACUCUUCUUUUACUUGGCCCACAAGGUAGCAAAGUUGAGUUCUGUGUGUAUAAUUUUUAGGCUCGUGAUCGCCCCCUAGGUGGUACUGCACCCUUAAGCACACUUCCUGAAGUGUGUAACGUUCAGCCAAUCACAUGUGGCCAAUUGAUCAGCUGCUUGACACAUGCUACUCAUGCACAAGGGCCACAUAUUGUGUGAAGGCAAGAUUUCACUUAGAGCAUGUCAGAAGAGCCAUAAUGCGAAGAAGGAAGCCAAGAAUCCGGCCUGUUGAUGAUGCAACAUCACACAUUCUUUCUUCGGGAGAUAAGCAGGGGCUUACUCAAAACGUCAUUGAUGAUUACAAAGCAUUGAUGCAUCCAGAGAAGAUGGGUCACUUGGACGAUUAGCGAAUGACGACCACAAAUCACCAAACUGUGUCAUGAAAAAAGUUAGUGUAAAUGACAGAGUACAUUUGUGCCUGUUUGCUCUGAGAAACAUAGAACCAGGAACUGAAAUUGUCUACAACUAUGGGGACUCAAAAUGGCCCUGGCGUAAAAAGGAGAACCUUGAGAAUGCCAACGUUGGGUCAGAUGAACCCAAGCUGUUCCCGGAUCAUGUUACUACUCAGGAGAACCUUGAGAAUGCCAACGUUGGGUCAGAUGAACCCAAGCUGUUCCCUGAUCAUGUUACUACUCAGGAGAACCUUGAGAAUGCCACCGUUGGGUCAGAUGAACCCAAGCUGUUCCCUGAUCCUGUUACUACUCAGGAGAACCUUGAGAAUGCCACCGUUGGGUCAGAUGAACCCAAGCUGUUCCCUGAUCCUGUUACUACUCAGGAGAACCUUGAGAAUGCCACCGUUGGGUCAGAUGAACCCAAGCUGUUCCCUGAUCCUGUUACUACUCAGGAGAACCUUGAGAAUGUCAACGUUGGGUCGGAUGAACCCAAGCUGUUCCCUGAUCAUGUUACUACUCAGGAGAACCAUGAGAAUGCCACCGUUGGGUCAGAUGAACCCAAGCUGUUCCCUGAUCCUGUUACUACUCAGGAGAACCUUGAGAAUGCCAACGUUGGGUCGGAUGAACCCAAGCUGUUCCCUGAUCAUGUUACUACUCAGGAGAACCUUGAGAAUACCAACGUUGGGUCAGAUGAACCCAAGCUGUUCCCUGAUCAUGUUACUACUCAGAGACCGUUGACUCACAAGAUUGUCCCCAAGAGAACAGUGAAGGUAUGCUGGAAGGAGAGGAGACAGAAGAUGCAACUUUUUUGUCAGAAGAAGUACAGGGAUCAGAGGAUGAGACUGCAUCAACCCUGCUAGAAGGUACCGCCUCUGUGAACUCCAAAAAGAAGAGAUUGGCAAGAAAGAGAGGAAUAUCAGAAGACGAAGCCACACCUCUCACAACAUCCGGCACAAAGAAAAGCAAGCCAUCAAGAAAGAAAGGUACAAAACCUGCCAUCAGAAGACCAUGGACGCCAGAGGAGUGUGCAGCAAUUAAGAGGCAAUUGAGAAGGUUUUUAAUAAUGAAUAUGACACCGGGUAAGGCAGAUUGUGAAAAAUGCCUUUCCGAAGAACCCGAGGCACUCAAAAACCGAGACUGGAAGGCAGUAAAAUACUUUGUGAAAAACAGAAGUUAUGAACAGAGAAAGAAAUCGAUGUAAGAAAAAAUAGGAAAGGUUUUUUUUCUCAUCUCUUGGAUUUUUGGAUUGAUGCAAAAGUCAGGUUUUAUUACCAUGCAAAAUGGUAGAAAUGUUCACAAUACAGUUCACAAAGGUUCAACCUAUGCCUGCCUUCGGCAUUCAAGCUAUUGUUAAAAAAAUGUUAAGUUGUUGCUGUUUGAUUUCGAUUUUCAUAUUCACGUCAUAAGAACUGAAACUACCGAUGGCAUUAUGGUCUUUUUUUGUCACUGUACCAUAACAAGUAAUACUCAAAGUUGAAUAAAAGUGAGAAAUGUGAGUAAA
ensembl:lncRNA